AGUACAAGAAGACAGAUUUGAACUGGACUUCUGUUUCCUCAGAAGUUAACUUGCAAUGUGAAGCUUUCCUUUUCUCAAAAACUUGGUGUCAUAGUGUUGGCUUCUAGUGCAGUGAGCCCCUUUUGCUGGAUAACACUACCUGGUAAUUUGACAUACUAGGUGGUUAGUAACUACUGACUGUCUCCAGGUUACAACACAGUUAUUACCUACUUGGGUGAAAAGAGAAGACAGGAAAUACAUUUUGGAGUUGGCUGGCAACCUGUUUACAAAGCGAUUUACAACAGUUCUUUAUUCUUAAGGGGCUAUUCUAAUAUAAGACCUCAGAGAAACAGUGCAGUGUGACAAAGGAGGAAUUUAUCAAAUGAGACAGAAAAAGCAUCAAGGCAAGCUGUGAAAUGGUGCGGUAGGAACCAAAUAGAGAGCCAAAGGAUCUCUCUGUCACUGCAGGCCCUUAGGGAGAAUGUACAAGUCCUCUGCCACAACGUGAGGGAGAGAAGUCUGCAGACGGCUGACUGGUGACGACUGAACAAGACGGAAAGGCAAGUCGCUAUGCCCGAAGCCUUUGAAGGGAGCCAGCAGGGUCCAUGGGAGGUUCAGGACACAUAUCUGCAGCCCUGCUUCUGGCCUCACCCUUGGGGAAGCCUUUUGCAGGUGAUCCUGGGCCUCUGCUGGGGAAGGCCCCAAGAGGUGAAGCAUCCUCUGCAGAGGAGAGAGCACAUCCGGAGGUAGAAGACAGACCACUGUCUGGGCUCCGUUUAACUGCUGUGAUUUGGGAUUGUAACUUACCCCCGUAAAGCCUCAGUUUCCCACAUGGAAAAUCAAAUCAAUCAUUGUUAUAACAUUU
rnacentral:antisense_RNA from 1 species